CUCCCCAGCUCUGCAUGGGUUCCCCAACAGUCAAAGUUAGUCAGUUCCUCUGAGAAAUCUAUCCUUGAGUUUUUCCAUAGUUUAAAAAAUGGUAAUAACCCACCACCACCACCACCCUCUUUUCAUUUAGGAAGUGAUCACCAGGUGACAAAGAGUAUUCAAUUUAUAUGCCUGGUCCAAUUAUUCCUAUCUUGUGAAAAGAUCCCCAUUUUACAUAUGAUGAAACAGAAACAGAGAAAAGAUACAGACUUGUUUGAAUUUGAUCCAAAGCCUAGGCUCUAACCACUAAAUUUCAAGGGCAAUCUGAUUCCAAUUUCUGUUCUUAGGUCUGCAUUCCUUAAUGACUUUGAUGACACAUAAAUCACGGAGAACCUAGUUUCAAAUGAAUGGCCAGACUCUGCAGCACACUGAUUGGAUUUCUGCUAGAGCAGAUGGACGAUACCAGUAGACUGACAGGAUCCUGCUGAGGAUGAAAGGGGAUGUUUUUUAUAUCAAGGCGCCAAGCAUCACAGAACGUUAUCCCGGGCCAAUGUUCCAUAAUUCCGAAACCUGGAGCCUAUGGUUAUUAGCCUUUUUUGGAAGAGGCAUGACCAUGAGAGUCACUGAUGAAAUUGCUAGAAAGUGGAUGUGGCAGCGACAGCUGUACUCCUGUAGCUGAGGACAAGUUAGAAGAUGGUAGACCAACAUGCUGAAAAGACAGAUGUUCCUCACUAAUUAUGUGCCCUAUCAUCCCAGAAAAUCCUCAGAUGAUCCCCAGAUCCUUACAGUGUUGCAAGCAACAAGUAAGCACAGGCCU